AGCGGCAGGCUUAACACAUGCAAGUCGAGGGGUAACAGCGCAGCUUGCUAUGCUGACGACCGGCGCACGGGUGCGUAACGCGUAUAGAACCUACCUUAUAGUAAGGGAUAGCCCAGAGAAAUUUGGAUUAAUACCUUAUAGUAUCAUUUGAAUGCAUAUUUAGAUGAUUAAAGAUUUAUUGCUAUAAGAUGGCUAUGCGUUCUAUUAGCUAGUUGGUAUGGUAACGGCAUACCAAGGCUACGAUAGAUAGGGGUCCUGAGAGGGAGAUCCCCCACACUGGUACUGAGACACGGACCAGACUCCUACGGGAGGCAGCAGUGAGGAAUAUUGGACAAUGGAGGCAACUCUGAUCCAGCCAUGCCGCGUGUAGGAAGACUGCCCUAUGGGUUGUAAACUACUUUUAUAGAGGAAGAAAUGACACUACGUGUAGUGUUUUGACGGUACUCUACGAAUAAGGAUCGGCUAACUCCGUGCCAGCAGCCGCGGUAAUACGGAGGAUCCAAGCGUUAUCCGGAAUCAUUGGGUUUAAAGGGUCCGUAGGCGGGUUUGUAAGUCAGUGGUGAAAGUUUUCGGCUCAACCGGAAAAUUGCCAUUGAUACUGCAAGUCUUGAAUCAUUGUGAAGUGGUUAGAAUGUGUAGUGUAGCGGUGAAAUGCAUAGAUAUUACACAGAAUACCGAUUGCGAAGGCAGAUCACUAACAAUGUAUUGACGCUAAGGGACGAAAGCGUGGGUAGCGAACAGGAUUAGAUACCCUGGUAGUCCACGCCGUAAACGAUGGUUACUAGCUGUUUGGACUUCGGUCUAAGUGGCUAAGCGAAAGUGAUAAGUAACCCACCUGGGGAGUACGUUCGCAAGAAUGAAACUCAAAGGAAUUGACGGGGGCCCGCACAAGCGGUGGAGCAUGUGGUUUAAUUCGAUGAUACGCGAGGAACCUUACCAGGGCUUAAAUGUAGAUUGACAGGUUUAGAGAUAGACUUUCCUUCGGGCAAUUUACAAGGUGCUGCAUGGUUGUCGUCAGCUCGUGCCGUGAGGUGUCAGGUUAAGUCCUAUAACGAGCGCAACCCCUGUUGUUAGUUGCCAUCGAGUCAUGUCGGGAACUCUAACAAGACUGCCAGUGCAAACUGCGAGGAAGGUGGGGAUGACGUCAAAUCAUCACGGCCCUUA
rnacentral:rRNA from 1 species